rnacentral:rRNA from 1 species
CAGGCUUAACACAUGCAAGUCGAGGGGCAGCAUGGUCUUAGCUUGCUAAGGCCGAUGGCGACCGGCGCACGGGUGAGUAACACGUAUCCAACCUGCCGUCUACUCUUGGACAGCCUUCUGAAAGGAAGAUUAAUACAAGAUGGCAUCAUGAGUCCGCAUGUUCACAUGAUUAAAGGUAUUCCGGUAGACGAUGGGGAUGCGUUCCAUUAGAUAGUAGGCGGGGUAACGGCCCACCUAGUCUUCGAUGGAUAGGGGUUCUGAGAGGAAGGUCCCCCACAUUGGAACUGAGACACGGUCCAAACUCCUACGGGAGGCAGCAGUGAGGAAUAUUGGUCAAUGGGCGAGAGCCUGAACCAGCCAAGUAGCGUGAAGGACGACUGCCCUAUGGGUUGUAAACUUCUUUUAUAAAGGAAUAAAGUCGGGUAUGGAUACCCGUUUGCAUGUACUUUAUGAAUAAGGAUCGGCUAACUCCGUGCCAGCAGCCGCGGUAAUACGGAGGAUCCGAGCGUUAUCCGGAUUUAUUGGGUUUAAAGGGAGCGUAGAUGGAUGUUUAAGUCAGUUGUGAAAGUUUGCGGCUCAACCGUAAAAUUGCAGUUGAUACUGGAUAUCUUGAGUACAGUUGAGGUAGGCGGAAUUCGUGGUGUAGCGGUGAAAUGCUUAGAUAUCACGAAGAACUCCGAUUGCGAAGGCAGCUUACUAACCUGUAACUGACAUUGAUGCUCGAAAGUGUGGGUAUCAAACAGGAUUAGAUACCCUGGUAGUCCACACGGUAAACGAUGAAUACUCGCUGUAGGCGAUAUACAGUCUGCGGCCAAGCGAAAGCAUUAAGUAUUCCACCUGGGGAGUACGCCGGCAACGGUGAAACUCAAAGGAAUUGACGGGGGCCCGCACAAGCGGAGGAACAUGUGGUUUAAUUCGAUGAUACGCGAGGAACCUUACCCGGGCUUAAAUUGCAGAUGAAUUACGGUGAAAGCCGUAAGCCGCAAGGCAUCUGUGAAGGUGCUGCAUGGUUGUCGUCAGCUCGUGCCGUGAGGUGUCGGCUUAAGUGCCAUAACGAGCGCAACCCUUGUUGUCAGUUACUAACAGGUUCCGCUGAGGACUCUGACAAGACUGCCAUCGUAAGAUGUGAGGAAGGUGGGGAUGACGUCAAAUCAGCACGGCCCUUACGUCCGGGGCUACACACGUGUUACAAUGGGGGGUACAGAGGGCCGCUACCACGCGAGUGGAUGCCAAUCCCCAAAACCUCUCUCAGUUCGGACUGGAGUCUGCAACCCGACUCCACGAAGCUGGAUUCGCUAGUAAUCGCGCAUCAGCCACGGCGCGGUGAAUACGUUCCCGGGCCUUGUACACACCGCCCGUCAAGCCAUGGGAGCCGGGGGUACCUGAAGUGCGUAACCGCGAGGAGCGCCCUAGGGUAAAACUGGUGACUGGGGCUA